rnacentral:rRNA from 1 species
AGUCGAGCGGUAACAGGGGGAGCUUGCUCCCCGCUGACGAGCGGCGGACGGGUGAGUAAUGCAUAGGAAACUGCCCAGUAGUGGGGGAUAGCCCGGGGAAACCCGGAUUAAUACCGCAUACGCCCUUUGGGGGAAAGCAGGGGAUCUUCGGACCUUGCGCUAUUGGAUGUGCCUAUGUCGGAUUAGCUAGUUGGUGGGGUAAGAGCCUACCAAGGCGACGAUCCGUAGCUGGUCUGAGAGGAUGAUCAGCCACAUCGGGACUGAGACACGGCCCGAACUCCUACGGGAGGCAGCAGUGGGGAAUAUUGGACAAUGGGGGCAACCCUGAUCCAGCCAUGCCGCGUGUGUGAAGAAGGCUUUCGGGUUGUAAAGCACUUUCAGUGAGGAGGAAAACCUUACGACUAAUACUCGUGAGGCUUGACGUUACUCACAGAAGAAGCACCGGCUAACUCCGUGCCAGCAGCCGCGGUAAUACGGAGGGUGCAAGCGUUAAUCGGAAUUACUGGGCGUAAAGCGCGCGUAGGUGGUUUGAUAAGCGAGAUGUGAAAGCCCCGGGCUCAACCUGGGAACGGCAUUUCGAACUGUCAGGCUAGAGUAUGGUAGAGGAGUGUGGAAUU